rnacentral:lncRNA from 10 species
UCAUAAUACAUUUGUACAGAACUUUUACGAAUACUGUAUAUUUGAAGGGCAAUUUUGUAUUUUUCUUUUUAUUAUUUAUUUUCUUUGUUUUAUUAUAUUGGCUAGGACUUUUGAUAUGAUGUUAAGUAAUAGCAGUUACAGCACAUUUGUCUUGUUUCUUAUUUUAAUGGGAACUUUUAUUUUCCAAAUGGAUUCAUAUACUAGAACUAAUUUCAAUCUGUGGACAUUUCUAAGAGAUGUAUAUCAGAGCCAUGUAUAUAAAAUUUGUAAUGGUCAUGCACAGAAGAAAUUGGCUAUCUGGUAAGGCCUUAGGAUUCCUACUGCAAGAAGUUUCCAAGCAAUAGCUUGCCAACUUCUUUGUAAGUAUAUUGUAAGAAUAGUUCAAGAUUACCUCAAAAACAGAACCGUCCCAUCCCUGGCUUGUACUCACAGGAUUAGAUAUUCCUUUUACUCACAAUAAUGGGAAGCAGCAAUACAUCUGUUGACAAGUUUAUUUAUUUAUUUUCUUCAUUAAACAAACAUUUUAAGAAGUCACUAACUCUGGGAUAAACUUUGCGAACUCAUUAUAUAUUCUAUGUGGAGAUAUAAAUAUGUACACAUAUUAAUAGUUACCAAAUUGCACCAUAACUGCUGCAAAGAGCUAUAUACAAAGAUUUCAGGGAAAAAAUGUUGAAAAAUACACCCACAAGUAAUGAAACAGAGGAUGCGAAACAGUGAACCAGCCCAUUGUAGCUAGUGUGCAGUGAAAAAUAGCAGCAGAGUCAAAGGUUGCAAACUGAUGCUGAUGUGAAAAAUGACAGUUUUGUUUUUCAGCAAACCCUCAGGAUUUCUUAUUCCAUCCAGGUCCUGAGGAAAACGAAGGGUUUCGUGUGUCCCAGUAAGUCCAACAACCAUUGCUCUCCCUCUUCUUGUUCUUUGGUUACCUGUGGUUGCUUUGCUACAAUCAGGAUUUCAAAUUGGUUGAUGCUUCUAAGACAAUAUCUGAGAGUGUAACAGAAAGAAAAGAAAACAGGUUGGGGGCUGGAUAAGAAGAAUUGAUGUUGUAUUGUUGUUUUCUUUCUUCCUUCUGGAUCCCAGAACCAGGGAGUUUAUCACAAAUGCUUUUAUGAUCCCUGAAGCCUAAUGCUUCUGUAAUAGAAUAUUGUCUUAGUAGGUAAUUAAUGAAGAAGCCCUCAUGUUGUUCUUGUCUUGCUUAUAGCAUUAAAAUCCAGGUAAAAAUUUAUUUUCUGGCAACCCACAAUCACCUUCGAUACACACUAUUCACAUUGUGCCCCAUUUACAAAAGGAAAGAAACGAUUCAGACUAAGUCUCGUACUUAUAGUUGAAACUCGGCAAGGGUUGAUUUCUGAAGGUUUUACACACUGGGAAUCCAAGUCCAUCUGGACAAAAAGAUAAAGCUUUUCAUAGAUCAUGUAAAUGAAACACAUAGAUGACAUUC